AAAUUGAAGAGUUUGAUCAUGGCUCAGAUUGAACGCUGGCGGCAGGCCUAACACAUGCAAGUCGAACGGUAACAGGAAGCAGCUUGCUGCUUCGCUGACGAGUGGCGGACGGGUGAGUAAUGUCUGGGAAACUGCCUGAUGGAGGGGGAUAACUACUGGAAACGGUGGCUAAUACCGCAUAACGUCGCAAGACCAAAGAGGGGGACCUUCGGGCCUCUUGCCAUCAGAUGUGCCCAGAUGGGAUUAGCUUGUUGGUGAGGUAACGGCUCACCAAGGCGACGAUCCCUAGCUGGUCUGAGAGGAUGACCAGCCACACUGGAACUGAGACACGGUCCAGACUCCUACGGGAGGCAGCAGUGGGGAAUAUUGCACAAUGGGCGCAAGCCUGAUGCAGCCAUGCCGCGUGUAUGAAGAAGGCCUUCGGGUUGUAAAGUACUUUCAGCGGGGAGGAAGGUGUUGCGGUUAAUAACCGCAGCAAUUGACGUUACCCGCAGAAGAAGCACCGGCUAACUCCGUGCCAGCAGCCGCGGUAAUACGGA
rnacentral:rRNA from 1 species